AUGUGCCGCUGCAGGUUGGGAGGUGGAAAUUCCUGCUGGAAUCCUUCGGCAGCUCCGGGAGCGGGCCCGGCUGGAGGGACCGGCCGGGGUCACCCGGGGAGGAACCGGGACCGGCCGGGGUCACCCGGGGCAGAACCGGGACCGGCCGGGGUCACCCGGGGAGGAGGAACCGGGACCGGUCGGGGUGUCCGGGACGGGACCGGCGGCACCCACGGACCGGCCGUGCCGCGGGAGAGCUCGGCGUGGGGCCGCAGUGGGGUCUGGCUCCUGAAAAACGGGAUCGGCCGGUGGAAAAGGGGGAUUUACCGGUGGAAAUGGAGGAUCUGGCAGUGGAAAAGGGGGUUCUGCCUGUGGAAAAAGGGGAUUUGCCACUGGAAAAGGGAUUUUCCACGUGAAAAAAGGGGUUCUGCCGGUGGAAAAAGGGGAUCUGGCAGUGGAAAAGGGGAUUUGCCGUUGGAAAAGGGGGAUUUGCCGUUGGAAAAGGGGGAUUUGCCGUUGGAAAAGGGGGAUUUCCUGGUGGAAAAGGGGAGGGUUUGCCGUUGGAAAAGGGGGAUUUGCCGUUGGAAAAUGGGGAUUUCCUGGUGGAAAAGGGGGAUUUGCCGGUGGAAAAGGGGGAUUUGCCAGCAGGGAUCCGGCCGUGCUGGGGCCGUGUGUGCCUCUCUGGCCCCGCUCUGGGCACUGGCGAGCAGCGAGGGCGGACAGGGAGAGGGGAGAGAAGCGGUGGGAGCGGAGCUGCUGCAGAGCCCCUUCCCCGUGUCCCACCGGUGUCCCCGUGUCCCACGGUGUCCCCGAGUGCCACCCGGCGAGGCCCGUGCCCGCAGCUGGCCCCGGGGCUGGGCCGUGAGUCAGCGGCGGAGCAGCGCCGCGCUGCCCCAGGGCCGGGCCGGGCGCCCUGGCAGGGGACGGGUGACACCGAUGUCACCGAUGUCACCCCGGGCCAGCACAGGGGACGCCGAGGGGGCUUUUGCCCCGGUGCUGCCGAGUUCCUUCAGCUCCUGGAGGGGUCGGAGCUGGAUCCCUGCGAGGGCUGGGCCGGCCCCAAAGCCACCCUGGUGCCACGACCCUGAGAGCUGGGGACAGUCCCCAGCCCCGGGUGAUGGAGGGAGCCCGGGCAGUGGCACCGCGGUGACAAGGAUGGCCUGUGAGCACACAGAGCCGCGCUGA
rnacentral:lncRNA from 1 species